rnacentral:lncRNA from 1 species
UCAUUCUCCUUGAGUGGUGGGACUUUGCGCAUCUUUUAAAAGGUUCUCUCCUUGCUUUCCAGUUUGUCACAAUGUCCUGUUAUAAAGGAACUCAGGAGCACUCACUUCACACAGCGAAGCCUGGGCAGCCUGGACUUCCCUUAGCAGAGCUGAUGGGCGCUUCUGCCCAUGGCUGGCAGAAAGGCAGAGUCCACGGUGGUUCAGGUUCAUCAAAUGAUGGUGCUCAGAGUCUGAUCAGGACCAGCCACAAGGAUCAGAGUUUGAUUCAGUGUUGCUCAAAUCAGAGGCCAGCCGAGCAAGUGUGAGAGGAAAUUCCUGGACCACUGAGAGCUGCCUUAAGUUGGAUUCUCUCUGCUGCCCAAGACACCUGACACCUGUCAGAUUUGACACCCGUCAACUGUUACAUUCCUUGAGGGACUUGCUGCUUCUUGGGGUGGCCGAGGAUACAUCCUUAGAUUUAAAAAAAAUAUUGUGUUUUUUAUUUAUUUUUAGAAGAUACAUAGAUAACACAAAAUGUUACAUUAAAAAAUAGGGGACGUUCCCAUAUACUCCACUCCCCACACCCCACUUUUCCCACAUCAACGACUUCUUUCAUUGCAUUUGAUGAACACAUUUUGGAGCACUGCUACACAGCAUUGAUUAUAGUUUACAUUGUAGUUUACACUCUCUCCCGGUCCAUUCAGCGGGUUAUGGCAGCAUGUAUAAUAUCCUGCAUCUGUCCCUGCAAUAUCAUUCAGGACAACUCCAAGUCCCAAAAAUGCCCCCAUAGCACACUUCCUUUUACCUCUUCCUGCAUUCAGCAGCUCGUAUGGUCACUGUCUCCAUACCUAUGACAUAAUUUCUUCCAUUGCUAGAGUCACAAUAAUUCUAUAGUAGAAUAUCAGUAAGUCUGCUCUAAUCCAUAUUUUAUUCCUCCAUCCUGAGGGCCCUGGGAUGGUGAUGCCCCCUCCACCUCUGAAUUGAGAGGGGACUUCUAUCCCAUAUAGCUGGGGGAUGGGACUCUUGUGCCCACAGCUCUAGAUUCUUUUGGUUCCUUGGUGUGAUGGUUGUCCUUCCUCACCUCUCUGUCAGCUGACCUGGGUAAGUCCAAAGAACUGAAGAGUAGGUGCUGCAACACCGUUGAGACUCAGGGCCCAACUGGCACAUGGACAGCCCAGAGAGAUUCAAGUCUCCUAGGCAUACAACAAUCCCAGGGCCAACCAUAGUGUCAAUAAAAGGGACAGAAGAGGCAUGUGUAGAGAAAUCACAUCUGAGUCCAACUCCAUUACACUCAGAAGCACAAAUUCCAAAAUAGGGCCCACUGGCAAGGCACUGAGCUCCAGAGCCAUCUGCCAUGACCGUAGGACCUGGGUGUCUCUGUAGCCCUCAGGAGAACCACUACCUGGG